CCCUCUUCCAAUUGACCACCCCCCCCCCCUGAUCUUGACCUCAAGGAUGCAUCCUAGAAACAAGGUGCGGAGCUGUACACAGUCCUUCCUACAACUUGUAGAAGAUCCCGCACAGGCUUCACAACCAGUCAUGUGACCCCUAGCCCUCUUCCAACUGAUCGCCCCCUUGAUCUUGACCUCAAGAUGCAACCUGGAAACAAAAUUAAGCAUUGUGAUUUUAUCACCAUGAGGGAUGAAGUAGAAAAUUCAGCCUGUACAUCACAUCAAUCGUUCUUGCUGCUGGGGUGAAGGAUAAGUUGGCUCCUUGGCCCCAUUUAUGUACUAUGAAAUAUAAUGCCCUUGUAGCUAUCAUUACGGAACGUAAUACCGAUAUCUAAAUGACAGACUGUAUUUGUAGUGGUUGCAGAAAAAAAUAUGUUAGAAAAUUGAAAAACCCAAAAGACACGUAAAAAAGAAA